rnacentral:rRNA from 1 species
ACGGGGACGAGCAGGCGCGAAACCUUUACACUGCACGACAGUGCGAUAAGGGGAUCCCGAGUGCGAGGGCAUACAGUCCUCGCUUUUCGUGACCGUAAGGUGGUCUCAGAAUAAGGGCUGGGCAAGACCGGUGCCAGCCGCCGCGGUAAUACCGGCAGCCCGAGUGAUAGCCACUCUUAUUGGGCCUAAAGCGUCCGUAGCUGGCCGAACGGGUCCGUCGGGAAAUCCACCCGCUCAACGGGUGGGCGUCCGGCGGAAACCAGUCGGCUUGGGACCGGAGGACCUGCGGGGUACGUCCGGGGUAGGAGUGAUUUCCUGUAAUCCCGGACGGACCGCCGGUGGCGAAAGCGCCGCAGGAGGACGGAUCCGACAGUGAGGGCGAAAGCUUGGGUCUCGAACCGGAUUAGAUACCCGGGUAGUCCAAGCCGUAAACGAUGCUCGCUAGGUGUGGCACUGGCUACGAGCCAGUGCUGUGCCGUAGGGAANNCGAGAANCGAGCCGCCUGGGAAGUACGUCCGCAAGGAUGAANCUUAAAGGAAUUGGCGGGGGGAGCAC